AUAUUUACCUGAACGGGGAGAUACCAUAAUCAUGAAGAUAGUUUUUUCAGGGCGAGGCCUAUCCAUUUCACUAUGAAUGUACUGAAGCCUACAAUUUUCCUAAACUUGGAAAACUUGACUGCAUAAUUUGAGAUAGGGGACUGCAUUAACUCUCUCCGCUG